ACAACAAAGGAAACUGUCAACAAAACAAAAAGCUCUAUUUGAAAUCACCUCUGAUGUCUUUGGCAUUCUGACGGCUAUAAUUAACAUCUGUUUUGUAAAACAUAUCUAACACAGAUCUGUCUAAGGUGAAGAAACAAACUCAGCAAGGUCAAGUAAUGCAUCCUUGGUUAUGCAGUCAGAUGUGGAUUGGAGCAGAAAUCACAAUCACCUUUAAACCAGGAAAAAAAAACAAAGAUUUUUUUUUAAAAGAAAGCGAUGCCUACUGUGGUCCUUCCUUUACAAGGUAAAGCAGCCCCAGGCUAAGAUAAAGCUCUUGAGAAGAGAAGAAAAGAGCAUAUGAGCAAAACUUGGUGACAGAUGGAAAAGCAAAACACAUAAAACGGCUUCAAUGUUGCAAAACUGGAAGCUAAAGAUGAUGGAGAUGCUAUUGAAAAUAAUGGGAAAACAGAC